UUUUGGAUUUUCGGAUUCAGAGACCAAGCGAAAGUGAUAAGUUAGCCACCUGGGGAGUACGUCCGCAAGGAUGAAACUCAAAGGAAUUGACGGGGGCCCGCACAAGCGGUGGAUUAUGUGGUUUAAUUCGAUGAUACGCGAGGAACCUUACCAAGACUUAAAUGGGAAAUGACAGGUUUAGAAAUAGGCCCUUCUUCGGACAUUUUUCAAGGUGCUGCAUGGUUGUCGUCAGCUCGUGCCGUGAGGUGUUAGGUUAAGUCCUGCAACGAGCGCAACCCCUGUCACUAGUUGCUAACAUUCAGUUGAGGACUCUAGUGAGACUGCCUACGCAAGUAGAGAGGAAGGUGGGGAUGACGUCAAAUCAUCACGGCCCUUACGUCUUGGGCCACACACGUAAUACAAUGGCCGGUACAGAGGGCAGCUACACAGCGAUGUGAUGCAAAUCUCGAAAGCCGGUCUCAGUUCGGAUUGGAGUCUGCAACUCGACUCUAUGAAGCUGGAAUCGCUAGUAAUCGCGCAACAGCCAUGGCGCGGUGAAUACGUUCCCGGGCCUUGUACACUCCGCC
rnacentral:rRNA from 1 species